GUCCUUGUCAUUCAUUUACAUUAGCUUUCACUGCACAAACUCGUGAAGCUCGUGUUCAGCAGUGUGACCCUUUGUAAAAUCUUCGAUGUGGUGACAUCUGGUUCCAUAUCAGCAGCCCAAGGAAUUUAUGUCACCUUGUUGCUCUCAUUAAUUCAGUGGGGACACCAGCCAUACAUCUGACAUUAGUCAACAAGGUAAGUUCCUUGCCACUUUUACAACGUUGUUGAGCACAGAAAAUUCAUGUUAAACAAUGUAUUGCCAUCUUUAGUUUAUCACGCAUGUGCACGCGUGUACACACACACACACACACACACACACACACACACACACACACACACACACACACACCACAUGCACACUUAACAUUUUGCAGCCAGGUUUAGUAUGGUUUCGCACUUUGUUUUUGAGCAUCUUUCAUACAGUUGCAUUACAUAAAGCUUCCAUAGUUUCCUUUCCACAUACUAUACACAGUGCAUAAAAAAAUACAAAUACAAUUAUAAAAUACACUUAUCCUGUUCAUUUGCUGGCAUGCCAUUAUUGUCACUUAUAUACAUUAUGGUCUGUAACAUAUUCUCUCCCCUUUUUAUAUAUAUUUUCAAUGCUCAUCGUUUUGUUUUAGUACAUAUUGUUAAAUUACAAUUUUGUAACAUUAUUAAAUUCCAGUUUUAUGAGUACACAUUUUACUCUCAUUUAGUUGUACAUUCUUCAUAUAACAUUCAAACCAUAAUAGAGUCUGUUUUCAUUUAUGGCAUACAUUGAUAUACAUUUCAUUUCAAUUUACAGUGACUUCCUGUCAGAGGAAAUUUACAGUGACUGCUUGUCUGAGCAUAUUUACCAAUUCCAAAGAAUUAAAGAUGUAAACAACAGUCGCUACAGCAAUGGCACUGUGGCAGCAGUGGCAGGGAAGUAACUGCUUCAUGUCGGAUGUGUGUUUGAGCUUUGAAGUGCGGAAGCAGAUAAUUAAGUGGUACUGGAAGUUUGAGAAUGUAGCUGCGGUUCGAAGACGGUGGAGAAGUGAGUAUGGUACAGAACCACUUUCAAGGAUAACAAUUACACGUCUACGAGACAAAUUCAAAAUUCAUGGAACAGUGUGUGAUGUACAUAAAGGUUGAUCAGGGCAACCUCGUACAGCUACAAGUGAUGAUUCCACAACUGCGGUCUCAGAACUGUUUCAGCGUUCACCUCAAAAAUCUUCACGGCAAGCAUUACAUGGGAGUAAUGUAAGUGCUAGUAGUGUGCUACACAUUCUGAAGAAAGGCAAGUUUUGUGUGUACGUUCCAAGGGUGGUGCAACAGCUAAGUGGCGACGAUCCAGAUUGAAGGUUAGAAUUUUGUGAAUGGGUUCAGGAGAUGAUGAGGUGUGCGCAGAAAUCUCAUUGGACACUUUGGUACAAUGUACGGAAUCAGUGGUAACUCAUACUCAGAAGUGUAUUGAUUAUUGAUGCUGUAUGUCACCAGUUUGUUCAUUAAUCACAUUUGCAAAGUA